UCCGCCCCCCCUCCUCCAGCACAGGAAAGACCAAAGGUGGCCUAUAUAGACUUCUUCCUCUCCAUUUUAUCCCCACAACCACCCUGUGAGGGGCCUCCAGAUGUUUUGUACUACAGCACCCAGCAUUCGUAACCAUUGGUCAUGCAGUCUGGCACUGAUGAGAAUUGAACUACAAAACUUUUGGUGAGUACUGCAUUGGAGAAGGCCAGGAU